AUGGAAACGGAGAACAAUACACACAUUUCAAAAUUUCUUCGGGGAUUUUCAGAGGAAGCAGAACUGCAGCACUUAUAUUUGGGCUUUUCUUCUCCAUGUACCUGAUCACUGUGUUUGGAAACCUGCUCAUCAUCCUGGCUUUCAGCUCUGACUCCCACCUCCAUUCACCCAUGUACUUUUUUCUCUCCAACCUUACCCUUAUAGACAUCUGUUUCACCUCUACCACCAUCCCAAAGAUGCUAUGGAACAUUCAAAACAAGAGCAAAUUUUUAACUUUUGAUGGCUGCAUCACCCAGAUGUAUUUUCACAUACGGUUUGCAGGCUUAGAUGAUGCUCUCCUGAGUGUGAUGGCAUAUGACAGGUUUGUGGCCAUCUGCCACCCCCUGCACUACAUGAGCAUAAUGAACCCUGGACUCUGUGGACUGUUGGUUCUGAUCUCCUGGAUAAUGAUGGCCAUGUAUUCCUUGUUACACACCUUAAUGGUGUUGCGAUUGUCCUUCUGUCCAGAUUUGGAAAUCCCCCACUUUUUCUGUGAACUCAAUCAGCUGGUACAACUUGCCAGUUCUGACACAUUUCUCAAUAACCUGGUGAUGUAUUUUGCAGCUCUCCUUAUGAGCGUUAGUCCUUUUUCUGGUAUCCUUUACUCUUACUUGAAAAUAUUUGCUUGCAUUCAUAGAAUCUCAUCAGCUCAGGGGAAGUAUAAAGCACUUUCCACCUGUGUGUCUCACCUUUCCAUUGUCAUUUUGUUUUAUUGUACAGGCCUAAGUGUAUACCUUAGCUCUGCUGCUACCCACAGCUCACACUCAAGUGCAACUGCCUCGGUGAUAUACAUUGUGGUCACACCCAUGCUGAACCCAUUCAUCUAUAGUCUGAGAAAUAAAGACAUAAAGAAAGCACUGAAGAGAUUCUAUUUGAUGCCAGGUAAAAAAUGGACAAUUAUCCUGGGUGUGAUGAAAUGCCCUUGA